CGGUGGAUCACUCGGCUCGCAGUUCGAUGAAGAACGCAGCUAAAUACGAUAACUAGUGUGAACCGCAGAAUUAUUGAACACUAAACAUUCGAAUGCACAUUGCGCAGUAGGAGUCACAUCCUUCUGCAUGUCUUGUUCAGGGUCGUAA
rnacentral:rRNA from 1 species